GCCCCCGCGCCUUGCCCCACCCCGCUGGCCCCGCGCGCCACCCCACCCCGUCGGCCCGUGCGCCGCCAAACCCCGCUGCCUACGGCCCAGCCCUUCGAUCCCCACCCCUGGGAAACGCCGGCUUCUCCCACUGCAUCUUGCUCCCCCACGAGCUGCAGGUCCCGGUGGCUCGUUCCGCCGCACUGCGUCCAGGCAUUCCAACCCUGCCGCCCUAGGCCGUUCGCCGCUGUUGUGCUCACGCUGGUUGUGCCGCGCCUCCAGCUCCCAUGUGUGGCCCCUGCUGAGUGCACGUCAUGUAUUUGCUAAAAUGUCUCAGUGCACUGGACUACUAGUUUUCUUGUGUUCAUGUGCAUUUGUAGCUCCCUUCUUGCUUGCUAAUUGCUAUAGCUUACAAUACUUAGAGCAUUUUUCGUGUGUGAUCUGUAAUUUAGGUGCUAACCAAAGAAUAGGCAAGGUUAUUCAGAUAGAGGAUCUUAACUAAUCAUGUUAAUGGUUGGUCUUGCUCCCUGUGCAUUUUCACUCACUGAGGGCGACUACUCCAGAAAAAAAAGCCAUGGGAACGUGCUGCCCUCAGUCCUCUCUCGACAAAUCCAGCAGUGCAGGAAGGCACACCAUUGUUCUCGUGCAACCAUCUCCAAACAAAACGUCCAAAACUUUUAUGGACUUCAGUUCACUCAACCAAGCCCUGGAUGGUUAGUGUUCUCUCUUGCAUGCUGCUUGAAAUAUUAAUGCAAUUUUACUUUGCUAUCUGAUUGUGCAUGUGUUGUCGAAAAUGAGGUUAUCAUGGGAUUCUGAACAUAUGAUAGUAUUGUUUUGCAUAUGUAUUAUAGUUCAUUAGUUCAUCUAUUCCUUGCUUCAGUUCUAUGCACAUAGUCAUCAGCCAUCAUCACCUAGUACCACUUGGACUGAACAUUCAGGAAUUCAAUUUAUAAUGUUGUUUACUGUCCUAAUUUUUCGGUACCAGUAACCUUCCUAUAUACAUAUGCAGCUUUUCCGGUUCACCUUGUAUAUGGUUUUUCAGUUCACCUUGUAUAUGCCUUUUCAGUUCAUCGUACAUGUUUCAAAAGGAGCUCCCUUAGUUUCAGUAGAUGCGGAGAUGGGUAAAAUCUAAAGUUCAACUUUUCUGAUGGGGUACUUCAUAAAGCAAAGAAAAAAGAAAAGCAGAGCAAAAGUGAAAAAAAAGAAAAAGAAAACCAAAGUUGUUUUGAGAAGAAAAUGCCUAUUGUCCAGUAAUACAUUCUCUCGUUAGUCUAUGGUUAUUUGUUCAUGAGAACGAAAAAACAGUGUACAAUACAUAUUACGUGCGCUGUUCACAUAUUAUGGUUAUUUGUUCGUUAGCCGCGUGCAGGAAGUUCAACGGCACAAUCCCCGGCCGUUCAGUCUCGCUGCUGUGGGCGUGCCCCGCUCCAACUCCAUCGCCUCUGCUUCACUGGUGAAAGGUGCGACCUGAGGAACCACGGGGGUUGAGGACGUCCAGCUCCGCAGUGCAACUCGGCAUGAUUCACGUCAUCGAUAGCCCCCAUGUAGCAGCCCAUGCAUGUCCCGCAAUGAGCCAGGACAGGGAAGUUGUUGGACACUCCCGUCUUCGUCGGCCAUCACGCUAUGAGUGGCUAUGGCCAUUGGUCACCGUUGGUCGUCGGCCGUUCUUCUUCGCCACCUCCUGAAGGUCAGCUUCUGGUACACGGGAAUGAAACACCAGACGAAGCAAAAUUGAGUGAUCACGGGGAUGGAACACCCACAGCCGUAACUACAACUCUCCCUGUCUUCUCAAAGAUUGAGUUUGUUUGUGCUGUUACGUCUCUCUCUACCAAUUGGUGUGAUUAAAUUUAUAUUUUGAUCGUUGGAUCCUCGUUUUUUAAAUCUAGCAUGCACAAAGUUUAGAAAAGAGGCCCGAACGAAUUGGGUGCACACUACCUUUUUGUUCUUAUGCUUAGUAAACCUUGUUCAGUUUGCAUUGGAGAACUUGUACUAUUCCUGUUGCUCUCAAGCUAUAUGUUUAUAUGCCUAAAAAUAACUUAAACAAUCAUUUUUGAUA